rnacentral:rRNA from 1 species
AUUGAACGCUGGCGGCAGGCCUAACACAUGCAAGUCGAGCGGAUGAAGGGAGCUUGCUCCUGGAUUCAGCGGCGGCCGGGUGAGUAAUGCCUAGGAAUCUGCCUGGUAGUGGGGGAUAACGUCCGGAAACGGGCGCUAAUACCUCAUACGUCCUGAGGGAGAAAGUGGGGGAUCUUCGUACCUCACGCUAUCAGAUGAGCCUAGGUCGGAUUAGCUAGUUGGUGGGGUAAAGGCCUACCAAGGCGACGAUCCGUAACUGGUCUGAGAGGAUGAUCAGUCACACUGGAACUGAGACACGGUCCAGACUCCUACGGGAGGCAGCAGUGGGGAAUAUUGGACAAUGGGCGAAAGCCUGAUCCAGCCAUGCCGCGUGUGUGAAGAAGGUCUUCGGAUUGUAAAGCACUUUAAGUUGGGAGGAAGGGCAGUAAGUUAAUACCUUGCUGUUUUGACGUUACCAACAGAAUAAGCACCGGCUAACUUCGUG